GAAGGAUACCAGACAAGACAGUAGGUCUGUUGUCACCUGGAACGCUAAUGGAUUACUGGAAAUUCUUUCAUCUUCCACUUGUGACAAAAACUGAGUAGCAGCGUCAUGCAUUUCAUCUACAAUGUCAGCAGGUUCCAGAACCCACCAUAACAGCAUGCUGAGAUGGCAGCGCUUGAACCACUGGAAAAUGGGUUACUCACAACAGAGCAGAAUAUAGCUCGGUGGGUUCCAAGUGACAUGGGAAAAUGCACUCACCAAAAGGAUGGUGGACAUCUACACCCAUUUUAUUUAAAUAAAGUAUUGUUGCUGUGAGAGCAUCAACUGACAUAUCUUCAUUCCACUGGCUCACUAAGUGCAAAAGCAUCCCAAAAUCUGGAUGUCCGCUAACUUCAUUAAUAU